rnacentral:rRNA from 1 species
CCUGUAGCAAUACAGGUGGCGCACGGCGCACGGGUGCGUAACACGUGGGUAAUCUGCCCUCUGAUGGGGAAUAACUCGCCGAAAGGCGAGCUAAUUCCGCAUAACAUUCCGAGAACUUUGGUUUUUGGACUCAAAGGCGUAAGUCGUCGGAGGAGGAGCCCGCGCACGAUUAGCUAGUUGGUGAGGUAAUGGCUCACCAAGGCUAUGAUCGUUAGCUGGUCUGAGAGGAUGGCCAGCCACACUGGAACUGAGACACGGUCCAGACUCCUACGGGAGGCAGCAGUGGGGAAUCUUGCACAAUGGGCGAAAGCCUGAUGCAGCGACGCCGCGUGGGGGAUGAAGCUUCUCGGAGUGUAAACCCCUUUCGACCCGGACGAAUACCUCGCAAGAGGGGUGACGGUACGGGUAUAAGAAGCCCCGGCUAACUACGUGCCAGCAGCCGCGGUAAGACGUAGGGGGCCAGCGUUGUUCGGAAUUACUGGGUGUAAAGGGUUCGUAGGCGGUGUGGCAAGUCGGGAGUGAAAUCUCUGGGCUCAACUCAGAGACUGCUUCCGAAACUGCUGUGCUGGAGUGUGGGAGAGGCGCGUGGAAUUGCAGGUGUAGCGGUGAAAUGCGUAGAUAUCUGCAGGAACACCCGUGGCGAAAGCGGCGCGCUGGACCACUACUGACGCUGAGGAACGAAAGCUAGGGGAGCAAACAGGAUUAGAUACCCUGGUAGUCCUAGCCCUAAACGAUCAGGACUUGGGGUGCCACCCGUUCGGGUGUCGUCCCGGAGCUAACGCGUUAAGUCCUGCACCUGGGGAGUACGGUCGCAAGACUGAAACUC